GCUUGCUUAAAAUUAAACCACCUAGAGGAUGGCUAGGCUGUGUCAGCGAGGAAGGUCGUGGCAAGCUGCGAUAAGCCCAGGGUAGCCGCAAGUCGGGCCUUGAACCUGGGAUUACCUAACUGCACAUUAGCAAUAAUGUGAGCACACGCGGGGAACUGAAAUAACUUAGUACCCGCAGGAGAAGAAAGCGAAAGCGAUGCUGCUAGUAAGACGACUGAACGCAGCGAAGGGCAAACUGAAUCUCCUCUUGCAAAAGAGGCAGAGAUGUGGUGCAAUGUAUCAUCCAAAGCAUGAGCCGAGCGCUCUGGAAAGAGCGGCCAAAGAGAGUGACAGCCUCGUAGGCAAAGUGUGAUGGAGUUGUUGCGAAAGAGUACAUCCGUUUGAGUAUGCGGAGAGAAUACGGGGGCAUUAAACUCCAACCCUAAAUAUUGGACACAGACCGAUAGAGAACAAGUAGCGCGAGCGAAAGCUGAAAAGAACCCAUACGCAUGGGAUUGAAAUCAGAUCUGAAACUAGGUGGUGACACGAAGGCAAGGCGCGGAAGCGUCGAAGUUUCCUGAAGUGAAAAUGCGAAAGCAUCGAACGAAGGGAAUGGAGCAGUGUCUUGUCAUUCUUCUUGAAGCAAGAGCCAGGGAGUGUAUGGUAGUGGCGAGCCGGAAGGCGCAGCGAAAGCGAGUGCUCGCAACAUGUGAGGAGCUUGGUAUGAAAAUGCCACUAGUCACUAUCAUACGACCCGAAGCCGUUGUGAACUACGCGCGCCCAGGACGAAGCUAGGCUAACGCCUGGUGGAGGUCCGCAACCUGUCAUGGCAUGUCCUGUUGGGUGAGGUGCGGGUAGCGGCGAUAUACCAUUCGAACACGGCAAUAUCGGGUCCCUUCUGAAGUAUCUUUAGGAUAGCUCGGGACGAGCUUGCACACGCGGUAGAGCUACCGAAUAUUUGGUAAGGAGUCGAGAGGCUCCACCAAAUUAUCGAACUCCGAAUGUAUGUGCUGCGUAGACUCCCGGAGUCGGCGAGGCUGGGUAAGCUAGCCCCGCGAGACUACAAAGAUAGUGACUGAGGUUAAGGUCCCCAAAUCAUGGUUGAGUGUCUUGAAAGUAGGAGAGGUCAUAGACAGCUGGGAGGUAGGCUCAGAAGCAGCCACCCUUUAAAAAACGCGUAAUAGCGUACCAGUAGAGAUCUCUUUUACUGAAGAUAUACGGGGCUAAACCAUGUACCGAGACCCCAGAAUGCGAAAGCAUUGGUAAGAAGGCGUAUGGCGUGGCAAGAAGUACGACCGAAAGGGCGUAUGGACCACGUUAUAGUGAAAAUCCUGGUAUUAGUAACAUCAUACAUGGGUGAGAAUCCCAUGCACCGAAAGCACAAGGUUUUCUUCGCAACGCUCGUCAGCGGAGAGUUAGGCGAUCCUAAGAACGAUGCCAAUCACAAUCGUUCAAAAGGGAAGCUGGUCAAUAUUCCAGCCCCUAUGUUGUAGGAGCGGCAACGCAAGGUAGAUUUCUGACGCUUGGGGACAGGUCCUUAUGAAGUGCAAACGGCUGCGGAGUCUCGUUAUGAGGAGAAACAGCUAAAUGAACAUGGACUGAAUUCCUGAGCCAGUGAAAAGGGAAUCUGCAACGAUCAACAUAGACCGUACCUAGAUCUAGUAAAAGUGCUGCUGGCUGAGAAAGCCAAGGUGUGACGGAGCUAACCGAUGUUAGGGAACU
rnacentral:rRNA from 1 species